UACGUGUGCCAGGCUUUGGAGAUAUUUCACUUGCAGUUUUAGGCAGCUCCAAGCCACUCACUGACCUUUUGAGAGUUUCCUAAAUCUCACAGUUGGAAAGCACCGGUGCUGGAUGCCGAUAGUACUGAAUUAUGUAUGAUAAGUUCUAUUUCCUUUUGCAUGUCCAGAUGAUGGUCCACUAGCGCCAAGUGGUGGCAGUCAAAAAUUUAUGAAAAAUGAGUAUUCCAUGGAUGCAAGGAAAUGCCAUGACCCAGGACCAUGUCAUUGGACUGCUGAUAUCAUGUCAUACAACAGCCCUAUCCAAAAUUGUGAUGGCCAUGUCCUGCUGAGAUCUGCAACUUCAGCCAAGGCAAAGCAGAGGGCUCCAGCUAAUGGCUGCUGGAACAGAACGACCUAAUUGGAGGCAGGUUUGGGAAGAGCAGCAGUGGACACUGGAGUCUGCGUUCUGGAAAAGAAGAGCCAGUGUUGGAUGCCUAAAACCGUCAGCUGUAUUUUACAGCCAUGCUUUUUAAUAUUUUUAACAGGCUAUGCUUAAGAGCAGCUAAUUUACUGUGUGCCUCAAUAGCAGUCUGAAACUAUUGAGCAUCUAGUAAGAACAGAGAAAUCAGUGAGCAGCUCUAGAGACACGGCCAUCAUUUCAACAUGUGCAUUUGCAUAUUCCAUCUAAUGCCUGAAGUCAGAUGCCUAAAAUUAGUAGAUUUAUUUGGAUGUGUGGAAAUAAUUGUAAUUUGUUUCACAGCAAUCAAUUUGUGAUGCUUUGAUUUCCCUUUCUACAGAAUUAAAUUAUUAAGGGGCAAAUAUGAUUUUCAAGAUACUUUUUAUCAUUCCCUCUGCUUGAAGUUUUGUCAAGUUUGACAUGCUAUAACCCAACGCUCAACCACAAGUAAUAAAUAUUAAAAAUAAAAAUCA
rnacentral:lncRNA from 1 species